GUGGGGAAUCUUCCGCAAUGGACGAAAGUCUGACGGAGCAACGCCGCGUGAGUGAUGAAGGUCUUCGGAUUGUAAAGCUCUGUUAAUCGGGACGAAAGAGCCUAGUGUGAAUAAUGCUAGGAAGUGACGGUACCGGAAUAGAAAGCCACGGCUAACUACGUGCCAGCAGCCGCGGUAAUACGUAGGUGGCAAGCGUUGUCCGGAAUUAUUGGGCGUAAAGCGCGCGCAGGCGGAUCUGCCAGUCUGUCUUAAAAGGUCGGGGCUUAACCCCGUGAUGGGAUGGAAACUACAGAUCUAGAGUAUCGGAGAGGAAAGUGGAAUUCCUAGUGUAGCGGUGAAAUGCGUAGAUAUUAGGAAGAACACCAGUGGCGAAGGCGACUUUCUGGACGAAAACUGACGCUGAGGCGCGAAAGCCAGGGGAGCGAACGGGAUUAGAUACCCGAGUAGUCC
rnacentral:rRNA from 1 species